AGCAUGUAACACAUCAACAAAUUGAGGGGAUCCCAAGCAACAAAAUGCUUUGGAAAGUUGGAAAUAAACAUAGAUCUGAAAAUUCUUAAUAUAGAUCAACCUUUCAAACUGCUACUCAGUCCACAAGAAGACAAGAUAUAAUUUGAUGAACUAAAAUAUCUUAGUAGCUAGAGGAAAAGAAAGCGAAAGCAAAAUGAGAGCAAUCUAAACUAUGAAAAUGAGGUUGUGGGAGAGAUAUACAUGUGUCAUACUAAUAGGCAAAUCAACAGAGAAUGUUGCAUCCUAGAUGUCUAGAGUCUAAUAGCUGAAAGCAUCAUCAGCUUACAUUACACUCUGAUUCGAGUAGAGCACGAGGCAUGUGGAAUCCCGUGUGAAUCAACAAGGACUACCUUGCAAGGCUCUACACUCUUGAGUGACCUGUAUUGAAAUAAUAUUGUGAGUGAAGGGUGAAAAGAAAUCCCAUCAAGAAGUGAAAUAAAACAUGAGAUUGUAAGCU
rnacentral:ncRNA from 1 species